CUUUCCCAGGGCCCAUCUUGCACGACGCCACCCAGCGCUGGUUGAGAAAACCAGCGGCAGCAACCCCCGCAUGCUGCGGCGGGGCUCGGGGCCUCCCCUUCCCCGCAGGUGCAGCCCAGGCCCGCACGCCCUCGGCCAAGCUCCGCACACCGGGUCUUCGUGGGCACCGCCCCAGAGCCGUCCCAGCCCCCAGCCCGAAGCCAAAAUAGCCUCAGAACCACUUCCUUCCCCGUGGGGGGAAUUGCACAAGAGGGCCGGCUCCGGGGCGGCAGGACGUGGCUUUCUGGGCUGGCACAACCCAACCCCAUUGAUCCGGCCGCGAAGGGUGCGAUUCAGGACUCCGACCUCAGAGCUAGCGGAGGAUAGCGGUCCUCCCAGGACAACCGCCACUCCUCACUGAGGCCCAUCCCUGAGGCUUCUGCCGAGCUACACAUUUCAUGUCUGUGGAACAGAGUUGUGAGCAUCUUACUUGAUAAACACCGCCAGGAGAGCUAUGCGGGGACCCAUCCCCAGAGCCCCGCUUGGGUCCCCACACACCGUCCAGGUUGCUGGGGAGAUCUACAGGAGUACUGACAGAGUCUUUUGGGGGCUUGUCUUCCUUGUGAACAGUUCCAGAGCUGUGUCCUACCUGCCGGAUGCUGGGCGUAAAUGAGUAAUGUCUGGAAAGACACUUCUGCAUUCUUUUGUUAAUCUUGAGCAGCCAAGUAGCCUGGGAAGGUUGAUUAUAAUGCAGGUGCCAAGGCCCUACUGCAGGCCUACUGAAUCCAAACCUCAGGGAGAGGGGACGUCUGGAUUGUAAACAAGAGUCCCAGGUGACGGAAGCACGCCAGAGUUCCAGGCCCCUGUGAGCCCCUAAGCUUAACACGGCUUCUCAUUGACUCGUGGAAUGACUGCUGGCUUUUACUUUCUACUCUGUAUCUACAAGUAGUGUGUUGAUAACUAAAAAGAGAUAGAAAACGUG
rnacentral:lncRNA from 1 species